CCUAGCUACUCCAAAAUUCCCCAUUUCUCCUCUCUUCCACCCAACACUUGCCACCGCCGUCAUAGCCUUUGGACCCAGAUUCGCUAUUGCGAGUUCCAUGGAAGGUCAAUCGUCUUCCUCGGUGGCUAGUAGGCGGAAGAGGCUAGAGCUCCCGCUCAUACAUGUACUUUUUGCAAGCGGCGCACAAUCCUUGAGUUGGAGGUUCAGACCGACGAAAAAGGCAACCGUGGGCACAUCUUUUACAAAUGUCGUAAUCACAAGGUGUCUCUGAUCUCGUUUUGUACUAUGGUUGGCAUCGAGAUGAUACUGGGAGGAGGAUUAUGUGACCUUCUUGGGUACCCGGAAAGGGAAGAUGGCCAUCGAGGAGCUUCUGAGAGGUAGGCUGGAGCUCGAAUCUGUGGCUAUGAAGGAGACGAAAGGAAAGAAAGAGAACACUGGAAAGCAAGAACUGAAGACUGAGGAUUUGGUCAGGCAUAUCAGAUGCUUAGUAGGAAUAGGACAACAAAUAGUUGUGUUACAAAAGUGUAUUCUUGUUGUUUGUGUGUGGAUUCUUAUGGAAUGACUUUGUUGUAAUAAGGAGAUGAAAUUACUUGAAGUUAUUAAAUAAAAUGAGGUUGUUCUAAUUA